rnacentral:rRNA from 1 species
UACAGAGGGUGCGAGCGUUAAUCGGAAUUACUGGGCGUAAAGGGCGCGUAGGCGGUUUAUCAAGUGAGAUGUGAAAUCCCCGGGCUUAACCUGGGAACUGCAUCUUAAACUGAUGAGCUGGAGUACUGUAGGGGACAGUGGAAUUUCCGGUGUAGCGGUGAAAUGCGUAGAGAUCGGAAGGAACAUCAGUGGCGAAGGCGACUGUCUGGACAGAUACUGACGCUGAGGCGCGAAAGCGUGGGGAGCAAACAGG